GAUGAACGCUGGCGGCGUGCCUAAUACAUGCAAGUCGAGCGAACGGACGAGAAGCUUGCUUUUCUGAUGUUAGCGGCGGACGGGUGAGUAACACGUGGAUAACCUCCCUAUAAGACUGGGAUAACUUCGGGAAACCGGAGCUAAUACCGGAUAAUAUUUUGAACCGCAUGGUUCAAAAGUGAAAGACGGUCUUGCUGUCACUUAUAGAUGGAUCCGCGCUGCAUUAGCUAGUUGGUAAGGUAACGGCUUACCAAGGCAACGAUGCAUAGCCGACCUGAGAGGGUGAUCGGCGACACUGGAACUGAGACACGGUCCAGACUCCUACGGGAGGCAGCAGUAGGGAAUCUUCCGCAAUGGGCGAAAGCCUGACGGAGCAACGCCGCGUGAGAGAUGAAGGUCUUGGGAUCGUAAAACUCUGUUAUUAGGGAAGAACAUAUGUGUAAGUAACUGUGCACAUCUUGACGGUACCUAAUCAGAAAGCCACGGCUAACUACGUG
rnacentral:rRNA from 1 species